GUCCAAAAGCCGACGAUACAGGGUGGAGGAAGUAGAGAGCAUCGACGGUUUCCAUGGUAACUUCCCCAGUUAUGAGCUGGACCUCUUCCAGGCAGUCCUGGUAAUGACUAGAGAGCUCCCACAGUUGUCAUCUGCACCCCAGGAGCAAUCUGCUCCUUGGCAGUUGUACACUCUCCAGCCUGACCUUGACUGAAUCCACGACUGCUCAUGCCUGGUUUUUUCAUGGCAAGCCAUCAGCUGGGGUCUCGAACUGGGUGACUAUCUCAGUGGGAGUUUCCAGCAAGACGCUGAGUUGGAGUCCUUUUUAUGUAGGCUGUGCACCUUCCCUGACCUCUACUCCACGCAGUGGGAGCUGUGGUUGGAUGUGGCUUGUUCCACUGAGGUGUGUGCUGGAGGCUGCUCCCCUGUGCUGUGGUGCUGGGGGCCCUGGGACCCUUAGGAAGAGAGGCUGAGUACAAGGUGAGGGGCCUCUGAGGCUGCUGCUCUCAGGAAGGAUUAAUGUUGGCCUCCUGCGGCUAGUUGCUGAGAGUGCUCUGGUGACCAGCUCUUUUCCAGAUUCUCUGCCAUGCUGCUGUGAUGCAGCUAAGGGGAUCCUCAUUCCAGAGACUGAACAGAUGGACCACCAGAUCGCUGUGGAAUAACCCUCUUCACAUAUUAUUUAUCCCCCAACGUAUUUUUGUCAUAUUAACAGAAAAUAUGCUAAUUCAGUUGUAAUGUCACAUACUGAACUUGAAGACUAAGCUCCAUAGGUCUGUGUAUCAGCCUACAGCACAGUGCCUUGUAAUUAGGGGGUACUCAAUAGAUAUCAAUGUGUUGACUUUAAUGCUCUGAUUGCUUGGUUGCAGAAUUUGUAAAGAUUUUGGAGACUAUAGAUUGGGAUAAUCUUUGUAGGCUUUUAAAACUAGCUUAUAUUCAUUAUAGAACACAAUGGGUUUUACAAUGACAUUUUCAUGCAAGUCCAUCUCAUACUUCGAUUACAGCCACCCUCUGUCACCUGCUCGUGGCCCCCUUUCCUUUCUGCUAGUUCCUUUCCUUUUCCUAAAUGCUCUUCUGCUGUUUUCACACUGUACAUAUGUGUGUGUGUAUGUGUGUGUGCAUGUACAUAUGUGUGUGUGUACGUAUGUACGUGUGUGCAAAGCCCUCAUCCACCAAGGAAAUGCAAAUCAAAACUACAUUGAGACACAUUUGCUUCAACCAGUCAGCAACACACGCUCACCAGCAUGGUCUCCAGUGGCAGUACAGACCAUGACAUCAACAUAGCCCUUCACCACAGCAUGGACUAUUGAUAACCUCAUGUCCCUUGGUGGUAGCAGUCCAUGGAUGUCAACAUAGCUUCAGGUGUCAGCAAAAACCAAGGACAUCCACAUGACCUUCCACCGUAAUGCUGUCCAUGGACAUCAACAUGGCCUCCUAUAGGAGCACAGAUCACAUAUAUCUACGUGGUCUUUGUCCUCAGCAAGGACCAUGGACCUCAAUAGGGUCUCCAGUGGCAGUACAGAGCACAGAAACCAACAUGGUCCUUGGCUGUAGCACUGACCAUGGACACCAUCAAGGCUCUCAGUGACAGCACAGACCAUGGACACUGACAUGGCCUCCAGCGGCAACAUGGCCCAUGGGCAUCCACAUGGCCCCCUGGCUGCAGCAGGACCACGGACAUGACCCUUGGUGACAGUGCAGGUCUUGGUCAUCGACAAGGACCUCAGGCGUCAACACAGCCUGGGGCAGCAGCACGGACUACAUGGAAAAAAACGUGACCUCCAAGCGUCUGUGGGAGUCUGUCCAGGAAAUGGAUGCUGAAAACGAACCAUCCUCCAUCUCGGACAUCUUGCUAUUGCUCAGAGGCGGGGCAACUGCGUGGCUGGGCAGUGUGUUUUGGGGCAGAGCCUGUGGGAGCUCCAGGUUGCUGUACACCACCCUGUUAGCCCUACUUGGCAACAACGUUCCCCACCGUCCACCACAGCCUACUCCCACAUCUGACACCUCGGUCCCAUCUCAAGUUCUGCUGAGAUCACACUGCUCCACUCUGUUCCUCCAUCUUUCCCGUCUCUCCGUCCAGUAUUGUUCAUUGAAAUGGCACUGCAGACCAGCAGUGUGUCCUGCAGUGUUAAUUUUCUUUUUGCCCAAAAAGGCAAAUGCUCAUUACAAUGAGUCAUUGGUCUGGAUUGAAGGUUUCUGAUUUCCAAAGCACCGUAAGUACUGGACCAUCACCAAGACUUGUCUUGGAUAUCCUGUGGCUGCCCAGAAUCAGGGUGAUCUUGCAGUUAGGCAGGAUAUCCGGGGGUUGGUGGGAUGGGCAGGAUAUUUGCAAGUUCCAGUCCUCCACAUACCUUCCGUCCCUUGAUGCCCAGUGCCCCGAGGCUCACUGGGCACCACUGCGGUGCUUACAGCCUGUGGGCAGUGCCGUCUCCCUGUGUUCUCACCCAUGCAAGGCUCCACUCAUCCAUCCUUCCUUCCACUUUUUAAAAGCAUCUUCCCACAGGGCAGUGUUUGCUCGUUCUAGGGAUACUGUAGGCUCUGCAGACUCCUCCUCCGCUGUUGCGUCUCCCUUCGGCUCCUCCGUGGGUGUCUCAGGCUCCUCAGAGCUGCUCCAAGGUCUCACAACACAUGCUGGAGGCAGCUGGCACCUUCUGUCACAGCCAGGGUUCAGGCUUUCAUCCUUGGUGGCAAUGACGUGCUCCUGGAUAUGGCUCUGCAGUACUGGCUCCUCCGUGGACUACAGCAGCAUGGUGGUGGAGAAGAUGCUGGGGUGGACUGGAUCUCAGCUCUGGAUCUCAGCCCAGAUGGCGGCGGAGUUAGCCAGCUGCUGAUGGUAGUUCACCGUGCGGGCACGGCACCCUAAAGCUCUUUACAUUGCAUACUCUCUAGGUUUAAAUGUCUCUGCAGAACUCAUAAACACAAAAUGCUUGUUUUUCCAAAAAAUUUUAAGCAGAUCUGACAAAACGACACAGCCACAGACUUUGAUUUGGAGUCUUUCCAAGCCACCACUCCAUCGCUCAGGGGUUAUUGCUGCAAGCACAUGUGAAGCUGGGGUGACAUGAUUAAUUUUGAAAGAAAGGUGUUGGGAAAGAUCUGGAAGUGACUGGUGAGAAAGCAGUGUCUGUGCUCAUGUCUCGUCAUGCCUUGGAAGGGGCCGUACUCUGUAGGUACCCUGUGCAUCUCAGAUCUUUAGAAUAGAGAGGCUGAUGUUCCUGCCUGGCUGGCUGGGCUGUGGGUCAGCAGGGAGCCUCAUGGCCUGGCAAAGGGGGAAGAGGUCAGCAGAGUUACCCAACAAGCCUUAAGAACAAAUCAAUCUAGGCUGUUUGUGGUUCCAAAAGCCAGCAGGAACUCGCCGUGCGCUUCUCCUUGUGUGUGGUUGGGCAAUGGUUGGGAAUGAGGGCAGGGAACCUUGAAUUUAUCCCUGUCUGUGUGCAACUGGAAGACAAGAGCCAACAGUUCAAGGGUCUUAACCUCUCUUCUCAGCUCUUUUUGCAGCCAGGACCAGCAUGACACGGGAGGGGUUGCUCAAGAAAUGAGUAUCAUUGGCUUUUGACUGGAGGAGGCCAGAGGGCCAAAAGUCACGGUCUCUUGAGUGCGGUGGAAGAGGAGGACCACACAGGACACUGUGUCUUUGCCCUGAACACAAACACUGGCUUGGAGAGAGAGGAGGCAGCUUGCAUCUAUCUGCCUGUCACCACUUGGACCCGUCCUCUAGAAAAGGGGGCAUGGACCCUGCUCCUGGACUGUAGCCCAGGGCCAGGGAGCCUGUCCCACUUUCUGCUAGUGAGAAACAGAAUAAAUACCUAUUCAUACCAGCAGAAUGGAGCUGUGCCUUCUAGGGGGAGGGAAGAAGGGCCAGUGUACUAAGACAACCAUGGCGACCGCCUUGUGUAAAACGAUUAAAAUUUGUCUUGUUUAA